rnacentral:rRNA from 1 species
AGAGUUUGAUCAUGGCUCAGGACGAACGCUGGCGGCAUGCCUAACACAUGCAAGUCGAACGGAGCUUAAGAGGCUUGCCUUUUAAGCUUAGUGGCGGACGGGUGAGUAACGCGUGAGCAACCUGCCUCUCAGUGGGGAAUAAUGUACUGAAAAGGACACUAAUACCGCAUGAUGUAUUUGAGUCGCAUGAUUUGAAUACCAAAGAUUUAUCGCUGAGAGAUGGGCUCGCGUCCGAUUAGUUUGUUGGUGAGGUAACGGCUCACCAAGGCGACGAUCGGUAGCCGGACUGAGAGGUUGAACGGCCACAUUGGGACUGAGACACGGCCCAGACUCCUACGGGAGGCAGCAGUGGGGGAUAUUGCGCAAUGGGGGAAACCCUGACGCAGCAAUGCCGCGUGGAGGAUUGAAGGUCUUCGGAUUGUAAACUCCUUUUGUCAGGGAAGAUAAUGACGGUACCUGACGAAUAAGCUCCGGCUAACUACGUGCCAGCAGCCGCGGUAAUACGUAGGGAGCGAGCGUUGUCCGGAUUUACUGGGUGUAAAGGGUGCGUAGGCGGCUUUUCAAGUCAGCUGUGAAAUCUGUGGGCUCAACCCACAAAUUGCAGUUGAAACUGUAAAGCUUGAGUGAAGUAGAGGUAGGCGGAAUUCCCAGUGUAGCGGUGAAAUGCGUAGAGAUUGGGAGGAACACCAGUGGCGAAGGCGGCCUACUGGGCUUUAACUGACGCUGAGGCACGAAAGCAUGGGUAGCAAACAGGAUUAGAUACCCUGGUAGUCCAUGCCGUAAACGAUGAUUACUAGGUGUGGGGGGAUUGACCCCUUCCGUGCCGCAGUUAACACAAUAAGUAAUCCACCUGGGGAGUACGGCCGCAAGGUUGAAACUCAAAGGAAUUGACGGGGGCCCGCACAAGCAGUGGAGUAUGUGGUUUAAUUCGAAGCAACGCGAAGAACCUUACCAGGUCUUGACAUCAAGUGACGUAUCCAGAGAUGGAUAUUCCCUACGGGGCACGAAGACAGGUGGUGCAUGGUUGUCGUCAGCUCGUGUCGUGAGAUGUUGGGUUAAGUCCCGCAACGAGCGCAACCCUUGCUGUUAGUUGCUACGCAAGAGCACUCUAACAGGACUGCCGUUGAUAAAACGGAGGAAGGUGGGGACGACGUCAAAUCAUCAUGCCCCUUAUGACCUGGGCUACACACGUACUACAAUGGCCGUAAACAAAGGGAAGCAAAGGAGCGAUCCGGAGCAAACCCCCAAAAACGGUCCCAGUUCAGAUUGUAGGCUGCAACCCGCCUACAUGAAGUUGGAAUUGCUAGUAAUCGCAGAUCAGCAUGCUGCGGUGAAUACGUUCCCGGGCCUUGUACACACCGCCCGUCACACCAUGGGAGCCGGUAAUACCCGAAGUCAGUAGCCUGACCGCAAGGAGGGCGCUGCCGAAGGUAGGAUUGGCGACUGGGGUGAAGUCGUAACAAGGUAGCCGUAUCGGAAGGUGCGGCUGGAUCACCUCCUU